rnacentral:rRNA from 1 species
UACGGAGGAGGCAAGCGUUAUCCGGAAUUAUUGGGCGUAAAGCGUCCGUAGGUGGCUAGUCAAGUCUGCGGUCAAAGACUGGGGCUUAACCCUGGAAAGGCCGUGGAAACUGACGAGCUAGAGUGCAGUAGGGGUAGAGGGAAUUCCCGGUGUAGCGGUGAAAUGCGUAGAGCUCGGGAAGAACAUCGGUGGCGAAAGCGCUCUACUGGACUGCAACUGACACUCAGGGACGAAAGCUAGGGGAGUGAAUGGG